GAUGAACGCUGGCGGCGUGCUUAACACAUGCAAGUCGAACGAACCUUUCGGGGUGAGUGGCGGACGGGUGAGUAACGCGUGAGGAUCUGCCCUUAGGCGGGGGACAACUUUUGGAAACGGAAGCUAAUACCCCAUAUGUCGAGAGAUGAAAGCUUAAUGUGCCUGAGGAUGAGCUCGCGUCUGAUUAGCUAGUUGGUGGGGUAAAGGCUUACCAAGGCGACGAUCAGUAGCUGUUCUGAGAGGAAGAUCAGCCACACUGGGACUGAGACACGGCCCAGACUCCUACGGGAGGCAGCAGUGGGAAUUUUCCGCAAUGGGCGCAAGCCUGACGGAGCAACGCCGCGUGAGGGAGGAAUGUCUGUGGAUUGUAAACCUCUUUUCUCUGUGAAGAAGAUCUGACGGUAGCAGAGGAAUCAGCAUCGGCUAACUCCGUGCCAGCCGCCGCGGUAAU
rnacentral:rRNA from 1 species